rnacentral:rRNA from 1 species
ACGUAGGUGGCAAGCGUUGUCCGGAAUUAUUGGGCGUAAAGAGCAUGUAGGUGGGCUUUUAAGUCCGAUGUGAAAAUGCGGGGCUCAACCCCGUAUGGCAUUGGAUACUGGAAGUCUUGAGUGCAGGAGAGGAAAGGGGAAUUCCCAGUGUAGCGGUGAAAGUCGUAGAUAUUCGGAGGAACGCCAGUGGCGAAGGCGGCUUUCUGGACUAUGUCUGACACUGGGAUGCGAAAUCUACGGUAGCAAACGG